UGGAGAAACUGUUAUGAAUGUCAAUGAACAAUGCAAUAUUUUCCACACUUUUGGAAAAAUGUGUCUUUCGUUGAAGCAGUCAAUAUAUUUGGAAGCCGGAUGGGGUGGAACCGUAUGCAAAACGGCCGACGCUCGCUUGGAGCCGUUCCUGCUGAGAGUCCUUUAACCGUUGUUUCCAUAGGACAGGGUCCUCUUCGGCGAACACGUAGUGCUCAUACAAGGCGUCCUCUUACAACUCCAAAUGCUUCUCUACUGGGACCUCGGGGUGCAACUUCGCCUAGUUUGCGUUCCAGUGGUGAUAGCUGCAGUUCAGCUGAUUCCACUAGGUUGUUGGUUAAACCAACCCUUUAGCUAAUCUCCCUCAAGAAUUUGAUUAGAAAAUAUCGGAAGCAUAACGUUGAUUCGGUGAGGCAUUAGGACGAAGGUAAACGUCGAUAGAAAAAAUCCAUAAAAACUGAAAAAGUCACGUAUUUCAAGAGGCAGAAAAGACCAUCUUAUAAGAGGUAUUGUUUCUGACUUGAUUUCUUUUACAAAUGUGGUGUAGGCUAUUUUCCAUUUUUGGUAGCCGAAGAGAUUUGACACAAUUUGUCAAUGUUUUUAACUUUUUUAAAUGUAUGUUUUGGUAAUGGGGAUACUUUAAGCAUGUCCUUCGCUAUGUAUUUGUAAUUCUAAUCAGAUUUUUUAAUACCAUGUGCAU